GCCGGUGUGGCUCAGUGGAUAGAGCGUUGGCCUGCAGACUGAAGGGUACCAGGUUCGAUUCCGGCCAAGGGCA
rfam:Myotis davidii contig56957, whole genome shotgun sequence.